GUGUAAAGUGUUUCAGACCGCGUGAAGACUUUUCCUAAAAGGCCUGCCAGCUUUCACAGGAAGAGCAGAACCCAGAGAACCUGUCGCUCAGCGGGGUUCACUUUCCCCAACUCUUCAAUCAGAAGCUGUUUUCAGCGUCGCAGCCCAGAGACUAACAACCUUUCCGAUCCACAGAUACACCGAACGUUAUUGCAGUACUAGUAUUUGUGACAGAACUGCAGCUGUUGGACUAACCUGUCAGUGUUUCCUGCUUCAGGCCAGCAGAGAUGUUUCCUGACAGAAGAGCGAGGACUCCUCCCUGCUCCUCUGGUCCAGAGACUCUGGUGGAGGGACAUCCUCAGUUCCCUGUGCAGCUGCUCAGGCCUUUCUAACAUGCUCACCUAUAAAGAGACCUGGACCUGGACCUGGAGGAGGGCUGGAUGCCACCUGUGACCCUGCAGAUCCCAGCUUUGACACAUGCGUCUCCUUCGUCCUGGUGUGAAGAGGGACAGUCCCAGGACCAGCAGCAGCAACAGUGAGUCGGCUGUGUGCAGGCAGAGUCCUGGAGACGCCUGGAGAAGCCCGGCAGCAUCAGGACAGACUCUGCGUCCUCAGGAAGACGCUUCAGGAGACCCUGAGAGGACACUGUGUGGACAGUUUAUAUCAAAGUCUUGUCUUUGCUGCUCUGGGCCUCAGAUUUACCAGGUUUAUAUUUCUGUUUCAGCUGCUCUGAAUAAAGUGCUUUAUUUUGAA